GGCAGGUUGCUGCUCUGUGCGGGGAGCAGGAGGAAAAGCGGGACAGGGCUGCUUAGGAACGCUGAUUCCUGACCGAUCCUUACUUAGGAGGCGGGAAGUCAGCUUCCCCAGCCUCCCUCCUUGGGACCCGCGGAGGCUCCAGUCUCCCACCCACCCCGGACUUGGAAAUGCUUUACCUGAUCGGCCUGGGCCUGGGCGAUGCCAAGGAUAUCACAGUCAAGGGCCUGGAAGUGGUGAGGCGCUGCAGCCGCGUGUACCUGGAGGCCUACACCUCGAUCCUGACCGUAGGGAAGGAAGCCCUGGAAGAGUUCUACGGAAGGAAAUUGAUUCUCGCUGACAGAGAAGAAGUGGAGCAAGAAGCCGAUAAUAUUUUAAAGGGUGCUGAUGUCAGCGAUGUGGCGUUCCUUGUGGUUGGUGAUCCAUUUGGGGCUACGACACACAGCGACCUGAUUCUGAGGGCCACCAGCCUGGGCAUCCCGUACCGCGUCAUCCACAACGCCUCCAUCCUGAACGCCGUGGGCUGCUGCGGUCUGCAGCUGUAUAAGUUUGGAGAGACAGUGUCCAUUGUUUUCUGGACAGACACGUGGAGACCGGAGAGCUUCUUUGACAAAGUGAAGAAGAACAGACAGAACGGCAUGCACACGCUGUGCCUACUGGACAUCAAAGUGAAGGAGCAGUCGCUGGAAAACCUCAUCAGGGGCAGGAAGAUCUACGAGCCUCCUCGCUACAUGACCGUGAACCAGGCGGCCGAGCAGCUGCUGGAAGUGAUUCGGAACCAGCGAGCGCACGGAGAAGAGCCAGCGGUCACCGAGGAGACGCUGUGCGUGGGCCUGGCCAGGGUGGGCGCCGAAGACCAGCAGGUCGCCGCGGGCACGCUGCAGCAGAUGUGCUCCGUGGCGCUGGGGGGGCCGCUGCACUCCCUGGUCAUCACGGGGGGCAGCCUGCACCCGCUGGAGCUGGAGAUGCUGAGUCUGUUCCCCGUGCCCCAGGGGCCCCGCAUGUAGCCGCCGUCCGUGGACCGGGACACUGCGGAGCUCGUUUCUGUCCGGUGCCCCGGCCAAGGGGAGCGUCCCCUGUCCGCCCAGUAAGCGCCGCACAAGCCGCCAAGGAGCGGAUGGCACGCUCGGUUUCCCAGGCCCUGAGCUCUCCCUCGGCCGUCGUCAGCUGCUGCUGCUGCCAUCCUGGGAUUUUCAGGAUGUGAAUGCGUGAAGCAGACUGAGCGGGAAGCUGGAGGGUGGCACCGACCAACAGGAGCCGUGGAAAGCAGCUUUUCCUUAGGAAGCCUGCACCAGGCGGGACCCUUCCUCCUUCCUUACGUCAGCUGCCUGCCCGCAGCCACAAGGUCCCUCCUGCAGCCACGAGGUCCUGGCAGCCGUGGAUGAAGGCUGUGAGCCGAGGUGGGGGCCUCCGUCACACUGAUUCCCCACUCACCUGCCACAGAAGGACUUCCUCCCGAAUCACCGUGUCUUCCUAGCUGACGUCCUAGUUAUGGAGCUGGGACGUGGCUAUAUUUGGGAGGUUAUGUAAUUAAUUGUUCAUAUAAAUGUGCAGCCAGCCAUGUACAGUUGCUCUUUGGUUUUUAAUAACAACUCAUAUCCAAGCUGGCAAGUGGGAAACUUGCUGACCACAGAGUAAAAGUUUUAAAAAUC